rnacentral:pre_miRNA from 7 species
UGCUAACGGCUGCUCUGACUUUAUUGCACUACUGUACUUUACAGCGAGCAGUGCAAUAGUAUUGUCAAAGCAUCCGCGAGCAGG